AAGUCGUAACAAGGUUUCCGUAGGUGAACCUGCGGAAGGAUCAUUAAUGAUAUGAUAAUUUUUUGGGGUUUUUCCCUGAAAAAUAAUUCACCUUUUGUGCACUGUUAUAAGAUAUACUUUGGUUAGAGCUUUGAUUUCAUUUAAUGGAAUCAACUUCUUGCUGACUCUAUCCUUUCUGAGGACAGUUGGCUAUGAAGCGGCCUACCAAGGUUUUUUAUCAAACACAUGUAUUUUGUCUGACCUAAAAUCAAAUAAUUAAAUCAUAACUUUCAACAACGGAUCUCUUGGCUCUC
rnacentral:misc_RNA from 1 species